rnacentral:lncRNA from 1 species
CCACUCCUAAAUCCAUGCAAUGAUUCUAUGGAUUUUUGGAUGGCCACCUGAAGACUAAAGCUGGUUUUCCCUUUUGUGGUGCUGGCCUUCAUCAGUGUAGGUAAUUAUCAUUUGUUUAUUCUCUAAUUCACUCAUUCAUUUGACAGGCACUGACUGAGUGCCUCCUGGAUGACUAAUAUUGUGCUGAAUUAAUCCUUAGUGACUGUAUCAUUUAAUGAGGAAGACAAAUAAAUAAGUGUUUUGGUGCUAUGAAAAGAGUCUGCCCAGAGCACAGAGGAGAUACAAAAUGAAGCUGUUGAUUCUGCCUGCAGGAACAGGAAUUGCUUUAUGAAGGUGUCACAGAAAUUACAGCUGAAUCUUGGAAGAGUAUCUCCAAGAAUCUUCUCCAAAAGCGUGGUGGUCAUUCAUCUGGGCCAACUGAUCAGCAGAGGAAAAAGGCAGUAAAUGGAAAUGAAGAUGGUAAUAAAUGUAUUUUAUUUUAAAAAGCGUUUCACAUAAUUUUUACUUGAAAACAUUAGCACCGAUGUAUUAUAACAAGCAAAGGAAGAUCACUUACUGAAUUCACAGUAAGAAAAAAGAAAACUGAAAAGGUG